rnacentral:rRNA from 1 species
GCUCAGGAUGAACGCUGGCGGCGUGCCUAAUACAUGCAAGUCGAGCGAAUGGAUURAGAGCUUGCUCUYAWGAAGUUAGCGGCGGACGGGUGAGUAACACGUGGGUAACCUGCCCAUAAGACUGGGAUAACUCCGGGAAACCGGGGCUAAUACCGGAUAACAUUUUGAACUGCAUGGUUCGAAAUUGAAAGGCGGCUUCGGCUGUCACUUAUGGAUGGACCCGCGUCGCAUUAGCUAGUUGGUGAGGUAACGGCUCACCAAGGCAACGAUGCGUAGCCGACCUGAGAGGGUGAUCGGCCACACUGGGACUGAGACACGGCCCAGACUCCUACGGGAGGCAGCAGUAGGGAAUCUUCCGCAAUGGACGAAAGUCUGACGGAGCAACGCCGCGUGAGUGAUGAAGGCUUUCGGGUCGUAAAACUCUGUUGUUAGGGAAGAACAAGUGCUAGUUGAAUAAGCUGGCACCUGA